rnacentral:rRNA from 1 species
AAUAUUGCUCAAUGGAGGAAACUCUGACGCAGCGACGCCGCGUGAGCGAUGAAGGUCUUCGGAUCGUAAAGCUCUGUCCUUUGGGAAGAAGGUCUUCGGUCUUCACGGUACCCAUGGAGGAAACCGCGUCUAACUACGUCCCCUCAGCCGCGGUAAUACGUAGGGGGCAAGCGUUGUCCGGAAUUAUUGUGCGUAAAGGGUGCGUAGGCGGCCUUUUAAGUCAGAUGUGAAAGCCCACGGCUCAACCGUGGGAUUGCAUUUGAAACUGGAGGGCUUGAGUAUCGGAGAGGGUAGUGGAAUUCCCAGUGUAGCGGUGGAAUGCGUAGAUAUUGGGAGGAACACCAGUGGCGAAGGCGACUACCUGGACGAAAACUGACGCUGAGGCACGAAAGCUAGGGGAGCAAAC